rfam:Pan troglodytes isolate Yerkes chimp pedigree #C0471 (Clint) chromosome 10, whole genome shotgun sequence.
GCUAGGCAUGGUGGUGCAUGCCUGUAGUCCCAGCUACUUGGGAAGCUGAGGGAAGAGGAUUGCUUGAGCCCAGGAGGUCACGGCUGUAGUGAGCUCACCCAUGAUUGUACCACUGCACUCCAGCCUGGGUGACAGAGCGAGAUCCUGUCUCAA